AAUCAACGCUGGCGGCGUGCCUCAGACAUGCAAGUCGAACGAUUAAAGCUCUCUUCGGAGAGUGUAUAGAGUGGCGCACGGGUGAGUAACACGUAAGUAAUCUACCUCUGAGUGGGGAAUAACAUCGGGAACCGAUGCUAAUACCGCAUAAUGCAAAGUUAUCGCAAGGUGACAUUGUUAAAGAUUUAUCGCUUGGAGAGGAGCUUGCGGCAGAUUAGCUUGUUGGUAAGGUAACGGCUUACCAAGGCUACGAUCUGUAACCGGUCUAAGAGGACGGUCGGUCACACUGACACUGAAUAACGGGUCAGACUCCUACGGGAGGCAGCAGUCGGGAAUUUUGGGCAAUGGGCGAAAGCCUGACCCAGCAACGCCGCGUGAAGGACGAAGUAAUUUCGGUA
rnacentral:rRNA from 1 species